rnacentral:lncRNA from 13 species
GGCCUAGAAAGGGCUAUUGCUUUCACGCAGUAUCCACAGUACAGCUGCUCCACCACAGGCAGCAGCCGAAAUGCCAUUUACAUAUACUAUAAUCAAGUGGGACGGAAGCCCAUGAUGAAGUGGCGCACUAUUGACAGGUGGCCCACACAUCGCCUCCUCAUUCAAUGCUUUGCAGACCACAUUCUAAAGGAAUUGGACCAUUUUCCACUUGAGAAGAGAAUCGAGGUGGUCAUUCCGUUUUCUGCUCACUCACUGCCAAUGUCCGUGGUCAACAGAGUGACCCGUAUCCUCAGGAGGUGAGCGCCACUGUCCAAAAGGUCAUGGAAAGGCUGGAGUACUGCAACCCCUUCCGACUGGUGUGGCAAUCCAAGCCAAGACUGACUGUGAGAAACCCUGGGAGCUCAGGAAGGAAGAAGCCGCUCAGAAGCAGAGAUAGGGAGCUGGUGGAAGAGACCAGAAGUCAGUUCCACAUGGCUGGGGAGGCCUCAGAAUCCUGGCAAAAGGUGAAAACCAAUUCCUCAUGGCAGUGGCAAGAGAAAAUGAGGAAGAUAAAAAAGCAGAAACACCUGAUAAAACCAUCAGAUCUCAUGAGACUUAUUCACUACCAUGAGAAUAGUAUGGGGGAAACUGGCUCCAUGAUUCAAAUGAUCUCCUACUGAGUCCCGCCCAUAACACAUAGGAAUUAUUGGAAUACAAUUCAAGAUGAAAUUUGGGUGGGGAUGCAGAGCCAAACCAUGUUAGUGCAUAUGUUUAAAGGGACAUAAAAAAACUAUACAAAUGUAAUAAGAAUAUAUGCAUAUUGUUAUGAAAUGAAAACAUUCGAAAUUAUAAAAGUAGUAAAUAUUUUUUAGUAAAAUUAAAUAUAUGCACAAAAGGUGAAAACUGUUUUCCUUUCAUUCCCAGAGAAAAAUUUACUUAAAUUUUACAUAGUUUUUUCCUGAGUUCUUCCUAUACCUGAAAAACACACUGGGUUAUUUUUGUAUACAAAAGAAAUUGUGUUAUACAUAUUUCCUUUCACUCUUUUUCUUUUCACUUAAUUCUUUCAGAUAAUUGUUACCAUUUGAAUGGCCUUGGAUGAUUCCUUUAUAUGAAUGAACCAUAAUAGUUAACCAGUUUACUAAUGACAGACAUUUAUAUUGCUCCUAAGAUGUUACUGUUGUUCAUUUAUUUAAUUGUUUCUUUAGUUUUAAUUUCUAGACAAGUUGCUCUAUCAAAAAUAAUGUACACUUAAUAUUGCAAUAGUUAUAAGAAAAUCUGUCCUUUUUUCCAGCAAUCUAUGAGUGUCUACUUUCAAAAACUUACUUUAAACUCUUAGCAUCAUAUUGUCUUCUAAAUCUUUGCCAGAAAUUAAUGUAAAUGAAUAUGCAAUUUUAAUUGUCAUUUAUUUGAUUAUUAGUAAGAUUUAGAUUUCAUUCUGUUUACUAGUCAUUUUAGGGAAAUGAGCAUUCUCUGCCUAUAAGCUUUGCCUAGUUUUAUAUUGAUAUGUUCAUCUUUUUCUUAUUUCCUCAUUUGUAAUAUCAUUUUAAAGUGCUUUUAAAAUAGACAAUUUUUUUCACAUUUAUUAAGACUCCUGUUGUGAUUUUUUUUUUGUCUUCCAAAUUCUUUUUUUUUUUUUAAUUAUAUUGCAUUUUAGGUUUUGGGGUACAUGUGCAGAACAUG